rnacentral:tRNA from 1 species
AGAAACUUAGGAUCAAUCAAACCAAGGGCCUUCAAAGCCCUAAACAGGGGUGACAACCCCCUAGUUUCUG